UACGUAGGGUGCAAGCGUUGCCCGGAUUUAUUGGGCGUAAAGGGCGCGUAGGCGGCUCGGAACGUCCGUUGUGAAAUCGCCCGGCUCAACUGGGCGGGGUCAGCGGAUACGGCCGAGCUUGAGCAAGCUAGGGGGCAAUGGAAUUCCCGGUGUAGUGGUGGAAUGCGUAGAUAUCAGGAGGAACACCGAUAGCGAAGGCAGCUCGCUGGGACGGUACUGACGCUGAGGCGCGAAAGCGUGGGGGAGCGAACAGG
rnacentral:rRNA from 1 species